AAUUAGUCCAGAGACAGCAGCUCAUCCUGGGUUUUCUUCCCUCCCUGCAGCGAGCUGGCUUGGCUUUACUCCUGAGAAAUCAAAGGAAAGGCUGUUUCCCAGAUAUUUUGAGCGUUUCCCCACUGCUAACUUCAGAUUCCUCGUGCCACUCCGAGGACCUUCACCCCUUCCAGCCUUCCCACCUCAUCCUGCGGCCCUGCCUGGGCACAGAGGGGAGACACCUUCUCUGCCCCAGGAGAUGCCCUUCCUGACCAAACCCCCUGAUGUUCUCACUCCCCUCUGAGCAUGGACCAGCCCCUGAGUCCAACAGGAGUUACUGGACAGCUGGACUGGAUCAACCAUGGGAUAACAGCUCCUUUAUGAGCUCUUCCCAUCCCAGAGAUGCCAUAAUUCCCUUGGAGGCAGCCAGUGUGCGUGUGAGGCAGAGGGAGUGCCUGUGGAUGAGGUGCAGGAAGCAAUCCCAGGUGAUGAGCCACUCCAAGGUUUUGGUUUCCCUGAUUAUGUGUCACCCCCAAGGCAACAACAUCUGGGAAAUAACCCAGCUCAUCAUCCCUGGAAAUCUCAACCAGCAAAACCAGUCAGUGGUGGCGAUCAGAGCUGGUUUGGGAAAGGGUUGGAGUAAGGCAAGGAUGGACAGUGAGGGCUCUGUGAGGGUGGAGAGGCCCUGGCACGGGUUGUCCAUGGAAACUGUGGCUCUCUCAUCCCUGGAAGUGUCCAAGGCUGGGUUGGAUGGGGCUUGGAGCAACCUGGGAUAGUGGAAGGUGUCCCUGUCCACGGCAAGGGGUUGGAUCUAGAUUAUAUUUAAGGUCUCUUCUAACCUAAAUAAUUCCAUAGUUCUAUGAUUCCACAACUCCUGCCACAAAAGCCCUGGAAUCCCUGGACACCUCAGGAAUUUUGGUGGCCCUACCAGGUAGUUGCUUCCCUUCUGCAAACUCCCUUCCCUCACGCAGCUCCCGGGGCCAACCAGCCAAAAACAUUCCGGAAUUAAAACCAUCCCACCCCACGGAAUCCUCAUCCCGAGGCGUGGCGGGACCUGAGGACUCUCAGCCCGGGGUGUCCCACACUGGGGGGACACUCAGGGCAGCCCAACCCUGUCCCCCAGCGCUGUCCCCUCCUCCCUCUCCCUUUCCUUAGCAGGGAUCGUUCCUCGGGGCCGG